rnacentral:rRNA from 1 species
UACGGGGGGAGCAAGCGUUGUUCGGAUUUACUGGGCGUAAAGGGCGCGUAGGCGGUUUGACAAGUCUGAUGUGAAAUCUAUGGGCUCAACCCAUAGCCUGCAUUAGAAACUGUCGGGCUUGAGUAUGGGAGAGGUGAGUGGAAUUUCCGGUGUAGCGGUGAAAUGCGUAGAUAUCGGGAGGAACACCGGUGGCGAAGGCGGGUUCUCUGGACCCUUACCUGACGCUGAGGCGCGAAGGCCAGGGGAGCAAACAGG